rnacentral:rRNA from 1 species
AGCUCCAAUAGCGUAUAUUAAAGUUGUUGCAGUUAAAAAGCUCGUAGUUGGAUUUCUGGCAAGAUUCAACGGCGCACCGCGUGCGCCCGCGAGUCCUGCCAUCCGUCUGUUAAACCAGUAUAUGAUUUAUUUCACGACUGGCGGCUCAGACAAUUUACCUUGAGAAAAUUAGAGUGUUUCAGGCAGGCUAGCGCCGGGAUACAUUAGCAUGGAAUAAUAGAACAGGACUUGAUUCUCUUCUGUUGGUUUGAGGGAGUUAAGUAAUGAUUAAUAGGGAUAGUUGGGGGCAUUAGUACUUAACUGUCAGAGGUGAAAUUCUUGGAUUUGUUAAAGACUAACUUAUGCGAAAGCAUUUGCCAAGGAUGUUUUCA